rnacentral:lncRNA from 1 species
GUCACACGCGCAGAACAUUCAUCCCCUUCUAUUUCUCUCUUUAGCCUCCACCCUUCUGGUAUUUUCUUGUUAGUAUCACGACCUUGACGUUCCCCUAAAAAAUUGAUGGUGUUUGUAAAACGGUUCUUCUCGAAGACUACCUAAAUUUUCGUAGCCUAUAAUUCGCCGUCGUUGAUUUUCAGUUAUUCCUUGCUAAACCGUGGUUAACGAUCCGCGGGUUCACCGGAAACCGCCUGCAACAGAUGUGGACUUUCAGAUCUUGCAAGAUGCAGGGUCGAUUGAGUUCCAGAGAUCUAGUAAGAUCACAAAUCAAGGGGUAACUUGGAAGAAUCGGUUCUAGAAUCAGUCAUAAUCUCCGCCAAGCAAAAUCGAAUCGACUAUGAUUUAAGAUCCAUCAGAACAUUGGUGGUGUGUAAUGCCGGUUGUCGGUUUACGAGCGCCAGAGAAGCGAUGUUUACGGGAAUCUCCAAAGCGAUUUUUAAGGGUCAGUUGUGAGAGUUUAUAGAUUGUGAUCGUGGUUCUUUCACAAUGUUCACGACGGCAGUGACCGCCAGAUUGUUAGGAAAAAAAAUUCAGUUCUUUGAUUUCAGAUCGAUUCUUUAAAUUAUAUUGUUUUCAUAAGUACAAAUCAAAGGAAAAUCCUAUGCUAUUCUAAAAGCCAUAUAGAAAAACCUAUUUCUGUUGAUCCAAAGGAUGAGAUCUAUAAACUGAUUCGAUUUUUUUUUUUUAAGAAAAUAGAGGAAAAAGGUGAUGCGAUUUGUAAUGUGGGGAGUGUUAUGGUAGAUCAGAUGAAUGAAAAAAAAAACGUUUUCUAAUUUGCAAUUUGUGAACCAUUUUAUAAUUAGCACUUCAUAAAUUCGAAACUUAUGAUUCAUCCUUUGGAAAUAUGUAUGUAUACUGUACUUCAAUAAAAAAUAAUGGAAAUAUAUUCAACACAGUGUGGAGAUUUGGAUGAUGUGUACCCGGAUUGCUAG